GACAUAGGUUGCGAACGUUAUCCGGAAUUAUUGGGCGUAAAGGAUGCGUAGAUGGUUUGAUAAGUUAUCAGUGGCAAAUCGGGGCUCAACCUCGUGGAAGUUGGUAAUACUGUCAUACUUGAGUGCAGGAGAAGUUAACGGAACUCUGUAUGGAGCGGUAAAAUGUGACGAUAUAUAGAAGAACACCAAUAAGGCGAAGGCAGUUAACUAUUCUGUUACUGACAUUGAGGCAUGAAAGCGUGGGGAGCAAAACGG
rnacentral:rRNA from 1 species